GACAGAGGGUGCAAACGUUGUUCGGAUUUACUGGGCGUAAAGCGUGUGUAGGCGGCUUUGCAAGUCGGAUGUGAAAUCCCACGGCUCAACCGUGGAAGUGCAUCCGAAACGGCAUCGCUUGAGUCUCGGAGAGGAAGGUGGAAUGCUUGGUGUAGAGGUGAAAUUCGUAGAUAUUGGGAAGAACACCGGUGGCGAAGGCGGCGACCUGGUCCGAUACUGACGCUGAGCGC
rnacentral:rRNA from 1 species